UGCAAGGAUAAGAGAAAUGCCUUCCCAAGCAUGUGCUUCAGCAGCAGUAUUGUUCAGCUUCGUGAGUAAGGAUGGACAGUCAAAUAAAGUGCAGCAGACCAAUUUAAUUGGAAAAUGGGCACUGGAACAUCAACUCAGUGUGUGGUGGAGAGAUACCAUCUCCUGUAUUUCGAUUCUUCAUCCAUCAGCAGCUGUAACAACAACAUCUCCUUAGUCUGUGACCUUCCUAAACUGGUGCCUAUCUGGCUCAGCUGACAUUUCCUGGACUUUCUGAAGAGGUUUUUGGGUCCUUUCUACCCAGAGGACUCAAGAACUGGCAGAGAAAUGAAGCAAGAAAUACUGUGCAAAUAAAGGCUGAUCAACGGUGCUGGCCUUCACUUCCCAUUCUCUUGAGCAGCUAGUAGCCACUAUUUAAUCCUCAUUUACCUCCCUCUGGAUGAAGGCAUUGGCCCUGCAGCUGGGAAGGCUCUCACAGCCAGCACUGAAUGCAGGUCAGCAGGAAUUACCUGAGGCUUCCUGCAGCAAGUGGAUUUUUGAGAAAGAAGUUCACUGGGGCCACAACCGGCAGCAGUUCCCUGCAGAGCCUGCAGUGAUGUGAGAACAGAGAGGAGCAGCGAGUGCCUGUUGGGAGUGCACUGGGCUCCUGGCAUCCUCAGCUGUUUUCCACCCACCCUUGAAAACCAUCUCUGGCCCAAAAUGGAACUGUGAGCUGUACCACAUGCUCCAAAUGAAGUGCUAAUUAAAUACUUCUACUUAAUGUAGACAACAUUUCUUUGAGAAGGCUGUAAUGUAUCGCAGAUGUGGCGAAUCCCUUGGAGAGCAGAGAAGGAGCAAUGUGCACGUUGGAUCCCUCUGUGAGUGACCUUGGUAUCGGGAAUACUGCAGGUGCUUCCAUAUGAAUGCACACUCAGACACAUGGGACAUAAAUGGUGGAGCUGUGGAGCUUGAUGGGUACUUGAGUCUUAAGAAAAACAGCUGGACCCAGCCCCUGAUCCUAAGGGGGAUGAAAUCCAAUUCGCCUCCAGUGCUGACAGGUUUUCAGCUGGAUCUGCAGCCAGGUGAGAGGCUCCUGCAGCUACACCAUGCCAAGAUUCCCUCUUUUUGGGUGCCACUCCUCCCUGCUGCCAAGGCUCCUGCAGUUCCUGCUGCCUGGGAUUACUGAGGCAUCAGUGCCAUUGGUAGAGCCAGAGGGGAAAAACAAGGGAAGCAGC